GCCUGCUUAGCUCAGUUGGCCAGAGCUCCCGUUUCAUACGCGGGUUGUCACUAGUUCGAAUCUAGUAGUAGGCA
rnacentral:tRNA from 1 species